AUACGGAGGGUGCAAGCGUUGUCCGGAUUUAUUGGGCGUAAAGAGCUCGUAGACGGUUUCGUAAGUCGGAUGUGAAAACUCAGGGCUCAACCCUGAGACGCCAUCUGAUACUGCGAUGACUAGAGUCCGGUAGAGGAGCAUGGAAUUCCUGGUGUAGCGGUGGAAUGCGCAGAUAUCAGGAGGAACACCAAUGGCGAAGGCAGUGCUCUGGGCCGGUACUGACGCUGAGGAGCGAAAGCAUGGGGAGCAAACAGGAUUAGAUACCCGGGUAGUCC
rnacentral:rRNA from 1 species